GAUGAAGAACGCAGCGAAAUGCGAUAAGUAAUGUGAAUUGCAGAAUUCAGUGAAUCAUCGAAUCUUUGAACGCACAUUGCGCCCGCCAGUAUUCUGGCGGGCAUGCCUGUUCGAGCGUCAUUUCAACCAUCAAGCCCCAGGCUUGUGUUGGGGACCUGCGGCUGCCGCAGGCCCUGAAAACCAGUGGUGGGCUCGCUGUCACACCGGGCGUAGUAGAUUUUAUCUCGCUCAGGGCGUGCUGCGGGUUCCGGCCGUUAAAAAGCCUUUUUUACCCAAGGUUGACCUCGGAUCAGGUAGGAAGACCCGCUGAACUUAAGCAUAUCAAUAAGCGGAGGA
rnacentral:misc_RNA from 1 species